rnacentral:rRNA from 1 species
GGCCCGCACAAGCGGUGGAGCAUGUGGUUUAAUUCGACGCAACGCGAAGAACCUUACCAGCUCUUGACAUGCCUGUCGCGGGACAGAGAGAUCUGUCCCUUCAGUUCGGCUGGACAGUGCACAGGUGCUGCAUGGCUGUCGUCAGCUCGUGUCGUGAGAUGUUGGGUUAAGUCCCGCAACGAGCGCAACCCUCACCUUUAGUUGCCAUUGGUACGGCCGGGCACUCUAGAGGAACCGCCGGUGACAAGCCGGAGGAAGGCGGGGAUGACGUCAAGUCCUCAUGGCCCUUACGGGCUGGGGCUACACACGUGCUACAAUGGCGACUACAGAGGGAAGCAAUACGGCAACGUGGAGCCAAUCCCCAACAGUCGUCUCAGUUCGGAUUGUCCUCUGCAACUCGAGGGCAUGAAGUCGGAAUCGCUAGUAA